rnacentral:rRNA from 1 species
UUCCGGUUGAUCCUGCCGGAGGCCACUGCUAUCGGGGUCCGACUAAGCCAUGCGAGUCAAGGGGCUCCCCUUUUGGGGAGCACCGGCGAACGGCUCAGUAACACGUGGCUAACCUACCCUCGGGUGGGGGAUAACCUCGGGAAACUGAGGCUAAUCCCCCAUAGGGGAGGAGGUCUGGAAUGAUCCCUCCCCGAAAGCCCGUAAGGGCGCCCGAGGAUGGGGCUGCGGCGGAUUAGGUAGUUGGUGGGGUAACGGCCCACCAAGCCUACGAUCCGUACGGGCCCUGAGAGGGGGAGCCCGGAGAUGGACACUGAGACACGGGUCCAGGCCCUACGGGGCGCAGCAGGCGCGAAACCUCCGCAAUGCGCGAAAGCGCGACGGGGGGACCCCGAGUGCCNUCCCA